rnacentral:misc_RNA from 1 species
GGAACACUUCCUCCUCCUCACCCACUCUCCCUUUUAACUAUGGGUCAUGUUUCUCAUCAUAUUUGUCCCUUUUUUUUCAAACUCAUCAUAUUUUCUGAUGAAGCCCAUUGAACACUGGAAGAAAAAAUAGUGUAAACCGGAUUGAUAGAAACACCCUUGUCUGGCGUAGUACAUGAAUCUCUUGUUUAUCAGUUUGCUUCUAGUGAGUUUAGAUGAUCACUAAAUCUUUUCCGAAUACCAGAUCUGGAUUCUUUUCCUUUUAUAUUUUAUUCACUUUCUAUGUCAGGC